GACGAACCGUGCAAACGUUAUUCGGAAUCACUGGGCUUAAAGGGUGCGUAGGCGGGCGGUCAAGUCAGUGGUGAAAUCCCCCGGCCCAACCGGGGAACUGCCGCCGAUACUGAUCGUCUCGAGGGAGGUAGGGGUGUGUGGAACUUCCGGUGGAGCGGUGAAAUGCGUAGAGAUCGGAAGGAACGCCGGCGGCGAAAGCGACACACUGGAUCUCUUCUGACGCUGAGGCACGAAAGCCAGGGGAGCAAACGGG
rnacentral:rRNA from 1 species